GGCCUCUUAGUGAAAUGGAUAUCACGAGAUCCUCCUAAGAUUUAAUUGUAGGUUCGAUUCCUACAGAGGCCG
rfam:Eubacterium cylindroides T2-87 draft genome.